UGUCCUCCCCCCGUGCCGAGACACCGCCAGACCGCCGGCGGGCCCGUGCUUCCCCUUUAAUUCCCGUAGGGGCUCGUGUGAGGACGCGGCAGAAAGCGAUGCUGCCCCCAGGACAGUGUCAGAGGCGUGAGGGAGCCGCGGCACUCCCAGCUCUGCUCCCAAGGAGCGAUUUGUGUAGGUGCAGGAACAGCUCCCAGCGCAGCCCAGGCCGCAGGUGAGGAGCCCCACAGCGGUGAUAUGAAGUGCCCAGGGGUGAGGACACUGAAGUGUGGUUGCUGCAAAUAUGAACUGUUUUCAGUGUCUGUGGGAACAGGACAAGCAGCAAUGGACUCAAGCAGCAGCAAGGGAAACUUUUUCUUCAGACAUGAGGUAAGUUCUGACAGUCUGCUAAGUUCAUAUAACAACUAGAUGGCAUAGAGAGGUUAUGGAUCUCCAUCCUAUAAUACUAUAUAAACCAUUGUGUGGCAGUCAGCUAAGAAUGGUUUAGGAGCUGAGGCUCUUAGGUACAGGGUAAAAUAGCUGAUUGCCCAAGUUCCUUCCCCUAACUCCUACAGCAAAUCUGUUGUCAGGAUGCUACACCACAGGCUGGGAACUGACACAGCACCAAGAACCUUUUGUCAGAUUUUUGUACUCCUGACCAGAACCAACCACAGCACUCCAAAAUACCUGCUCACUAUUCUAUCCUGCUGUUUGAGGCACAAGUGUGAUAAAAAUGUUCUUGUGUUUGCUGCUACUGCCAUAACAAUCAGAAAAUUGCUUUUAGCAGAAUGUGUGUUCCCAUGGGGCUCCACUUCAUGCUCUCAAAUUUCAUGUGUUGUGUGUUCUUCCAUCAUCAUGGUUUGAGCCAUCCAGAGUUACAAGCAAGGAAGAUUACAUACACACACCCCACCCACAUGAAAUAACAAAUCUUAGUGCUCUGUCUUCUCAGGUGCAAUCAGCUUCAGUGAGUUUCAUGAAAUAGGUAAGGCUCACAUAACUAUUGCUCUACAUAAAAUGUAAAGCUCAUUUAGCCUUCUAAAAAUUUGUGUUCUGCAACAAGAUUUUCAGUAUUUCCAUCAAGUGACAUCAAAUCUACUAGUAAGUUGUGGUGGUUUUUUUUCAAGAGAGAUGUAUGUGGCCAGGUAAAAUAAAACUUGCUUGGAGCAGCACAACUCAUUGACUAAAAGGCCUAAUGCCAAGUAUUUUGUGAAGCCUUUGAAGACAAAUACAAAGGACUUUUUGCGAGUUCAGUAACUAAAAAGCUGUCUGUAGUCAAAAAUACUUUGGAAAUUAACAGGAGCAAUUAUUUACAAAUUUCAUUAAAUGUCAGUUCUGCCUUGGCUUUAAACCCUGUCUUGCCUCAGUUCUGCAAAAGGUUUUCACAGAUCACAGCAUGUCCACUCUACAAACUGUAUGCCCUAGAACAAACAGGUCUGAAAGGUAAAUCACAGUUUGUUGACAAAUGAAUUUGUAAAAAGAACAGUUUACAUCAGAAGGAUCAAAGUCAGAGCCUUUAUUAAAUGUUCCUUCUCUAACCAGACUGCAUUUAAUCCCCCUUUCGCAUCUGUGAUUUCUAAGGCUAUUUUAAAUACUUUGUCUUACAGGGAUUUUCAGUCUGCAGAACCGUCACAAGCAGCAAGUUAGCAGUACACAGAAACAAUACAACUGAACUUUCACUGAGUUCUAUUCCUGCCUCCCAGGGUGCGUGCAAAAACCAACAAUAUCUCCAGUACUGGAGUUUUUGCACAGACCCUGGAAAGGAAAUAGUUGUCACCAGAGAUUAAGCCUGAUGUGCUCUAGGCACAUCUCACAAUUGGCCACAGCUGACCAGUAUUGGUUAGUAUGUCUGUUUCAAAAAGGGGACCAAAUUUUUAAUUUUCAUCUAGUGUGGGUCUAAUUAAGGCUAUUCUGGUAUAUUUGAUACUAAAAUACUCUCUGGGAGUCCUUUUCAUGAAAUCCCAUCAGAAUUAACAUUUUCAAAAAUGAAAACAUUUAUAAUAGGUGUUGGAGUUGAAAUGCUGAUGCAGCGGUUGGUUCAGUGUUUCCUGGUCUUCUUUAUCACGUCAGGAUAGUGUCAUCAAUCUGUUCCUCAGAGUCAGCCUGCCCUGCCAGCUUCCGCAGGGACCUCCUGCAGCUUUCAUUGAGAAGCUCCAGGCUGGCAGCAUCCAGAAUCUUGGAAACUGACUGUGGAGGGGAGACAGCAACAAUUACCAACUCCUUACAACACACCAUUCAAAAUCAGAGUGAGUGUAACUGCUUUAGGCACUGCAGCAACUAAAAUCUUUCAAACGUCCCAAAAGUCUCCAGCUGGUUUUACAAUACCAGACGUGGGAACUAUCCAAAGGCAGGUCAGACUUAAAAAACAGGUCUGGAAAUGGAUGCACGAAGUGGUCUAUCCUAAAUACUUCCUAGCACCACUGUGAUCAUCCAAGUGACUAAAGCAAUGCAUGAUCAGUGCCAGCUCAGGGAACUCAACACAGACAAGGCUUAAGGGGGAAUGUUAAAUGCCUUGAUUCUAUUAAUGCUGCAUUGUAAGGUUGUACAGAACAGGUGCUGGUGAUUUCUUCAGAGCUUAGCACAAGAAUGCUGCUGAAGAGCUAAAAAAAAAAUGAGCAUGUCCCACUUCAUCUAUUUCAUAAGAGACUUCCAGCACAUUCUGAGGCUGCAGGCACCACAGACAAAUGCAGAAUGAGGUGACACAGCCUUACCACCAACAAUUAUGGUCUUUUUAUAUGUCUCAUACCUCAAGCACUUCUUCACCCGCUCUCAUCUUCAGAAGGUUGACAAUAGCCUGGUCACUGUAGGCUCUUACACUGGUGUUUUUGUCUUUUGUGUUGUCCAGAAGUGCUUUGAGAAUUGGUUUAAUUGUCUGAGGAUCCAGUGGGGGAAGAUGGCUUUUAUUUGCCCACCAAAUCAUCUUUUCUGCAACUAACUUUAUGUCACUGGAUGAGUUCUGAAGACACUGAAGGAGACAAAGAUAGACUUACAUUCAGAUAUACCAAGAACAUAUAUUUAAAGCAGUUGUUAAUUUUUUUCCUAAUUUAAGUAUUUAAAACUGUGCUAAGAAAAGCAAACAGUUUCCAACUCACAGGUACACAAGAUACACACGUGUUACCUAUUAAGUCCAACUAAAUUGUGUAAGAUAAGGUCAUACCUUGAAAAUGUGACAACUUUUCAAAAGAAAAUUUCUAAAUAUGUAGUUGAUGACAGUAUCACAUGUUCAUCUCAACUGUCUCAGGAAAUGAUAAUGACCACUAAGUGCAGAAAAGCUGAUAGUGUCAGCACCUCUACAACACACUCACUGAGCAACAACAGCCAAGGCAGUCUCUAGUUGGAAUACUGGGUGCAUUUUAACAGUGGAUUUCACUUCAAAAUUCAAAGAAUUAGAGUUUUGUAUUUUAACCUUAAUCCUUUUAAAACAUGAAAGCUAAUGUCUGAAUGUCAGGUGCAUUAUUAAUAUGGUGAUAAAGGUUUUGUGGCAAGUGUGAUAUUUUAUAUUUUAACACAGUACUAUGAUAUUAACAUAGAAAAGUUGGACUUCAAACAAAAAGUCUGCUUUGAAGAAUGUUGGCCUGUAUCAUGUCAACUUGGUAUGUAAGAAAUGUAAAACCUGAAAAUGUAACAUGUUGCAGCAUCAUCCCUCUCUAUCUAUCCUUGUCUACCAAGAGGGAUACUCAAGUGUAUGGUGGGGUUUGGGGAGGGCAGACAACUAAAGAAACCAAAAAACCCCAGCCACACACCAAAAGGAACGACCAACCAGUAAAGGAAUUUUGAAGAAAAAUAUUUAAAUCAAAAUGAACUGAAAAAAAAAGAUGUUAAUUUCAAUGUUCUCAGGUCAGGUGAGUUUUGGUAUUUGAUACAUUUCUAGCAAAGGCUGUUUGACCUUUAGCAAUCUUAGAAACCUGACAGCUUCCUCACACUCUUCUCUGCCUCUCUGCCAGCUGUUUGCUACUAUAAAGGAAAAAUGCAUUUAUAAGACUCAGACUUGAGAUUCAGCACAGAAGGCUCAAAAGCAAAUUUCCAUGUUAGAGCAGGGAUGGCAGUGUUGUAUUCACAGCUUCAGAGCAGGAUGAUACAGUGAUUCUAUCUACACUCUGCCUCAAAAAGAAAUUUCUAGAUUUUCAGGGACUUGAUAGACCCACCCAUGAGUUAGGUCAAACAGAGAUUCAGAUCACACAAGAACACCAGCAGGUAGCUAACAUGAAAACUCUUACCUUAAUAAAGAGGCUGGAAAGUUUGGGAGGCAGGUUGCCUCCCUCUUCCAUGUGGUAUUUCAUGAGAAAGCCCAUCCCUCUGAUGCCACUAACUGCAAUGGGGAUCUUCAACAUAAAGACAAGAAUUGGUAUUACUACAGCACAGUUCAACAGCAGCCUUUAAACCAAACUCAUGGUCUGGCAGCUUCUGUGGAAGGCUAAACCUUUCAGCUGCUGUAGAAGGCUAAAUCUUUCAAAAGAACAGCAGCAUCGAAAAACACUGGGUUAAUGGUAUUGGGUAAUAUGAUGAAAAAAUUCCAGUGCAACCAUGAGCCAAAAGAAAUAAGGCAGCAGGCCCCACCAAAUUCCUACUCCAAACUACUCAUUCAACACUCCUAAAAUGAGUAAUUUCCACUUCUUGCAAACUUGGUCUGUGAAUGAGAACUCUCUAGGGAAACAGGAGUAUAAUUUACUCCAAAUGAAAGCUACUCUGCAGUUAAAGAUUAAAUAAUCUUCAUCUCCCAAGAGAUCAGAACUCAAAGAACCAGAACAGUUGUGUAAUUUCACCAUGAAACCUGCAUCUAGCCAAGGAAGAAUCUUCAGAUGGCACUUGGGGGUUUCUGUCCUGGUUGGUAACACAGGAACUUGUCCACACACCCUUCAAAACUGCUCCCAACAAGAGCUUGUAACAGCACUCCCCCUGUGGGGCAGGACUCACUCACCCUGUCGGCCGUGGCAUUGCUGAUGAUCAUCUCCUGGACACUGCUGUAGUAUUUUGGGGAACACAGCUUGCCAGGAGCCACGUUCACAGCCACGGAGAGAGCCAGGCUCCGGCCGUGCCUCACCAUCCAGUCAAUGCCAGAGACAUCUGCUGCAGAGCAAAGAACAGAACAAUGCCACGCUCCUGCCAUCUCCUCCUCUUCAUCUGAGAGGCUUUUGGCAGUUUGUCAAUUCACUGCCAUAAAAUGAAAUAACGAGCAGCAUCAGGAGCAAUGCCCUGCUUCCUCCAUUUCUCCCAAAAAGACACACAGACAGAGCUAAAAUGCAACACCUUUUCCAGGCAGGCAGGGACACCACCUGGGCAGGCAGGGAGGCAGACACAAACAAGUGACUCUCUUGUUCAACUCAGUUACUUCUGAUGGUUCAAAAUUAGACAAGCUUUGACCCUCUAAUAAAUUUGUAAAAGUCAUCUAUAAUUUGACCAGCUAACAGACUGCCUCUUUAAGCCCACAGGGGAGAGUAAUCAUUAACACUCUCAAACACUGGGGUCCUAUGAAACACAUUUUUUUCUAACUUGAAGGCAAAUUAGUUAAUUCUCCAAAAGCAUGUGAAGCUAUCAGAUGUGGCCUGCAAUUAACAUCAGCCAACAUAAGAUCACAGUGCUCUCCCAAAAUGUGGGAUGGCCCUCCUGUCCACCCUGCCUGAACAUCCUGUCAUGUCCAACUGUCCUCGUGUUGGCAACAGCAAUUACUCAGCCAUGCUAGUAGCUUUAUCAAGUCAUUAGAUAACAAAUGCAGAAAAAAAAGCCUGGGCAACCCCAACUGACAACCCAUGCUCCCUGUGUACCAGAGUGCACAAAUUAAGAGUCAUGAACAAAGAAAAGCACAAGAAAAUACAGAGCAGAACUUCAGUCACAAAGUUAGCCUGAAUGAAUGGCUGAGAAGGAAUCUUCCCUGCUUUCAGCAUCUGUUCCAGUCCUGUAAACAGCUCCACCUACCCAGUAAGUGCUGGUAGAGAACAGUGCUGAGCUCGUCGUCGGACAGAAAGGCGCACAGCUCUGCCAGGCAGCCGGCCGAGGCCAUGCGGGUGGCAUCCUGACAGGGGACAGCAGAACAGAACAUGGCUGAGCUCAACACACCCCAGAGACACGCAGCAGGAAAAACAAGUGUCACAAGAUGACAGGAAAUAAAGAGGAGGAGAAAAUAAAUAAUAGUAUUUCACUCGUACUCCCUGAGAAUUUCUUUCAGUUCAUAUUGUUUCUUGUACAAAAUGGAACUUAAAACCAUAUCUAAGGUUUAAAAAGCCAGCAGAAACUGAAGAAUUACAGAUUUGUAAGUUCUGAUUUUCUAAAUGGAAAAGUCAUAAAGAUGAAAUUCAGUGUUUUAAAAGAUGAGUUCACAAGUGCUUACUUUAGAUUCACUUACUGAAAGUGUUAUUUCUAGCUAUCUCAGUAUGAGCUGGUCCCUGUGAUAAACUCUUACUACUCUUCAUCUAACACUUCCAGGCUUUUGCUAUUUUGGCUUCCUUAUGUGACCAGCCCAUUACUGUCCACUUCUCCCCCAGAUUUAUUUCUAUUUCUAGCAUGUCAACAGUUUCACGUCUGUUGCAGAGACUGACAUUAAAAAAAAAAUAUUAGAUUAUUAACUUAAUCUCCCUUAUGUUACCAUUGCUAUUUGCUAUAUACAGAAGACCCUAUAUUAAACUUGAAGAGCUUCUUCUCAUUGGACAAAAAUCUAUCAUUAUCUGAAAAAUUUCUCACACGGAAUGAUAAACGUCACCUGAGAGGCUACAAACACAUCUGUGCAUAUAGUGAAGGCACUGCAGGCUUUCUCCAAGAUAUAAAGCAAGUCCUGACUGCAGAGCUACCUGAAACCUGUUAGUGAGGAGCUGCAGGUCAAACCCACACAUGCAGUUGCCAAGGAAACAUUAAACUGCAGGUUUUUCAGAGUUACCAGGGACUGGUCAGGAAUCUCCAAUUCUUCACUGUGACUAUAUAAUUCGUGUUUUCCCAGAAGUUAUUUUAGAUAGUAAUUCUUUUAGAAAGUUCAGAUUUUAAAUGUAAGAACAGGACUGUCUGCAGCAGGGGACCUUUGCAGCUGGCAGAAGCAGUACCUCAUCGUGUCCCAGCAUGCCCAGCAGCACUGUGCUAAUAUUCUUCCUAAUUGCAGCAUCCACUUUAGCACCAGCUCCUCGUGUGACAAACCGCAGCGCUUGCAGCAUCGUAUCCCUGGAAGAGAUCACAUUCCACAGUCAGACACUGCCUCUCCCCCACCCUCCAAGAGAAGUUUUGCUCUGGAUACUUCUAGUUCCCUGCAUAGCAAUUACAUUGAGAAUUACACUUUCCCUUAAAGUCUGGGAAAGUGAUCCCCUCUCUGCACUGCUGGAGACUCCAUCCUAGACAGUACUUCCAUGUUUCUGUCUAACACAACACAGAUAUUUUCUGACUGUUCAAACGUUAAAAAGAUUAUCAUGUCAGGAAGUUCAUGUCUUAGGCAUCUGUGCCUGUAGGAUACAAGAACAGCUGCUUUACUUCAGGUCAGACUGACUGUCAAUACUGCCUUUUAUCUGAAAGUGAGCUGCUUGGGGAUAUGCAGGUCUGCUUGGGCAGACUCCAAGCACUCUUUCUCCUAAAUAUUCUCACAGCUCACCUUCUGACACAGGAAGGCCCCAUCACCCCCAUUCCUGGUUUACAGUCCACUGCAUUCAUUAAUACAUGCAUCUUACUGUAACUGGGGGUUCUGUUCAUUCAUCCCAGCUCCUUCUUUCAUCCUCAGUAAGCAGGAAGGUCUGAGCUGUCAGCUGCAGCUUACCUGAUGGCAGAGUCGUCACUGGAACGAAUUCCAUUGAGGAGCUCUGUGAAGAGAGGAUCCACUUUGACAUGGAUGACAAUGAGCUUCCCGAGAGCAUCGGCAGCUUUGAGGCGAACAGCGCGGUUUGAGUCUUGCAGAGCUUUGGUGAACGUUGUUUG